GCAUGGCUGUACUCAGACAAUAUGCAGGAGGUAGAGGAGCAAAAACCUAAAGGUCCAUAGAAUGCACCUGAACAAAUGCUGUUUGGUGAAAACACAAGUGUGAUCAAAUGCCAUGGACCCACAGGAAGCUGGUGGCUCUCUUACAACACUAGAGCUGCCCUUGGAGUCCAAAGAGGCCCAAGACACCAAACUCAGUAAGAGGAGAGCUCUGCAGCAGCAGGGAAAAUGCAGUCCUUCUUCACAAAUGAUGGAAGAUGAGCAUGGUCAGAGAUGAGUUUGGGAGCUCUUUUCUCUGUAUUGCCAACAAGCAUUUUCCUGGGCGUGUCUUCCAGAUGCAUGGCAUUCUAGAUUUUAUGUGCAAAAUGAUCAGAAAUGGUGGGGGAAAUGGAGAGGGCUGGUCAAAGGAUACAAAGCUUCAGUAUAAGAUGAAUAAACUCAGGGGAUCCAAUUUACAGCAGGGGGCUAGCAUCAACAAUACUGUAUUGCUUAUCUUGAAAUUUGCUGAUUGAGUAGAUCUUAACUGUACUCACCCCUCCAAUACACACCAUACAUGCACAAAAUGGUAACUGUGUGUGGUAAUGGCUGUGUAAUCUGUGGUAAUCACAAAUUAAUGUAUAUCAAAUCACCAUGUUGUGCAUGUUUAAUAUAUGUAAUUUUUAUUUGUCAAUUAUGCCUCACCAAAGCUUGUGGGUGGGGGGAAUAAUGAACUCUGAUGUAAGGUAUGGCCUCUGGGUUAUGAUGUGUAAAUGCAGGCUCAUCAGUCCCACAAAUGUCCCACUCUGGGGGAAUGUGAGAAUGGAGACUGUGCAUGUGUGGGGGCAUGGGGUAUAUGGGAACUGUAACUUCCCUUCCAUUUUUCUGUGAAGUUAAAACUGCUUUUUUAAAAGUCUGUUUAAAAAAUAAAAAUAAAAUGAAGAAUGAUGACCGUGCUGACGUGACUUUUCAGUGGAACUUACUUAAAAACAUAAUGAGUGUUUCACUAAAUUUUUCAGUCAGUUUCAGUUCACCUCAAUGAAAUUAACUGCUAUAUGCUCUUCUGGGUUAUUUACUAUUGAAAUUGUAGGGUUUUUUUUCUAAAGGGGCAGUAGUUUAUUAAUUCUAGAAAAGAAAGGAGGGAGGCAGAGGCAGGAGGAUGGCUUGACCGCCCCACUGCACCCCAGCCUGGGCCACAGAGAGAGACUCCAUGUUUGUUUGUCUGCUUAAAAAGAAAGGUAAAAGGAAAGGAAAGAAAAAAGAAAAGGAAAGGGAAAGAGAAAGAAAGGAAAAAUGGAAGGAAAGGAAAAUGGAAAGGAAAGAUAAGGAAAUUAAAUUCACUGCUUCUCAAAGGAUCUGAUAUCCUUUGAUAUCCCUCAGUCUGUAGUAUUCUGAAGGAGUCAUACUCACAUAGGAGCCAGGCCCUUGCAGCUCUCCAGAAUCACUCUCCUGGUGCAAAGCGCAAAGGCGUCAAGAGAACAGCAGGCACCCACGUGCGAUCAGGACUCCAGACGCACAGCCCCGCGCAGGUGCAGGCUACCCAUGCAGAGUGGCAGCAAGCAAGGAAGGAAGGGUAACGGGGAGCGAUGAUUCCGCGGGAACAGCCAGUGCCCCUGGGAGCUGCUAAGCUCCUCCUCUCAGUUGUCCCGGCUGUGGAAUCAUGCGCCUCUGGACCCCUAGAAGGAACGUUCUAGUGCAUUCAGGGUUAUGUGCAGGGUGAGCGCUUCUCACGCCCAACAGCACCUAUAAGAAAAUGGCACCUCGCUAAUGACUGGCGUGCACUUUCCUAGGGCACAACUACCCGGAUGCCUAGCGGUAUAUGGAUACUUAAAAUUAGUUUUCCUAUUUUUAUACAGAAAGCUGACCUAAGUCAAAGCAAGCCACAGAGCGUGGGCACAUGGAGAGGAGGAUGAUGGCCCUCUUGCGCUGCCCUCUACCCAUGAAGCCAGUUCUCCACUGGACAGGAAGCAACCCAGCCAGGCAGAGGGCGCUGAGAAGAUUCAGGGCUAAGCAAACUGGGCUGUGAUACUGGAUUGAUCAUUUAACAACUGCCUGCCCUUGGGCAGUUCAUUAAACCUCUGUAGUUGAUUUCCUCAUCUGAAAACGAGCUCUAACAAUCUUCAUUUCAUAGGUGUGUUGUGAAUUUGAGUGAGCUCAACAGGAGCUCUGAAAAUCAGUCCUGUCAUAGCUGAUCUCUGACUGCAUGUAACUAACUCCAGCCAUUCUUUUUUUAUUUAUUUUUUUAGACGGUGUCUGGCUCUGUCGCCCAGGCUGGAGUGCAGUGGCGCGAUCUCGGCUCACUGCAAGCUCCGCCUCCCGGGUUCACGCCAUUCUCCUGCCUCAGCCUCCCGAGUAGCUGGGACUACAGGCGCCCGCCACUACGCCCGGCUAAUUUUUUGUAUUUUUAGUAGAGACGGGGUUUCACUGUGUUAGCCAGGAUGGUCUCCAUCUCCUGACCUCGUGAUCCACCUGCCUCGGCCUCCCAAAGUGCUGGGAUUACGGGCCUGAGCCACCGCGCCCGGCCACUCCAGCCAUUCUUAAUCCAAGGCUUCCCUGCCCGGCUUCACACCAGUCCCUUUGGGAUCUCUCAAUUCAUCACAUGGUUUUGUCGUCUUCCAUUGAAAUUCCAACCUGUUUGGCCAAUGGAGAAGGCAAGUGUUAAGCCAUUUAUAGUAUUAUCCCCACUCCUAAAAUCUAUUCUUCAUAUAUAAGCCUUCCUUAUCCAAGACAUAAACCAGCACCCCCUCCAAAGAAAGGGAAAAAAAGGGACUGCUGCUGAUCUUUCUGUUGAGGAAUAAAUCAAUGUUAUUCUGAAACUAUCUCUUGUUAAUAUGAUUCUAAGUAUGUAUUACUUGCACCACUGAAACCACAUAAGCUAAACCUUCAAAAGGCAACUGUCCUGCAGCCAUACAAUUUGAGAUUUUUAGCUGAGCACAGAGACUCCUGGGGCCAUGACAAUUAAGUGCAUCCAAG
rnacentral:lncRNA from 10 species